rnacentral:rRNA from 1 species
AAAGCGUAAUAGCUCACUGGUCGAGUCGGCCUGCGCGGAAGAUGUAACGGGGCUAAACCAUGCACCGAAGCUGCGGCAGCGAACGUAUCACCCAAGACAACUUUACGGAGUUGACGAUUGACGGAGCGAAGCGACGUCAAAGCGUUCAUUAAAGUCGAGUUGGCUUAGGGAUACGUUCGUUGGGUAGGGGAGCGUUCUGUAAGCCUGUGAAGGUGGCCUGUGAGGGUUGCUGGAGGUAUCAGAAGUGCGAAUGCUGACAUAAGUAACGAUAAAGCGGGUGAAAAGCCCGCUCGCCGGAAGACCAAGGGUUCCUGUCCAACGUUAAUCGGGGCAGGGUGAGUCGACCCCUAAGGCGAGGCCGAAAGGCGUAGUCGAUGGGAAACGGGUUAAUAUUCCCGUACUUGGUGUUACUGCGAAGGGGGGACGGAGAAGGCUAUGUUGGCCGGGCGACGGUUGUCCCGGUUUAAGCGUGUAGGUGUGUGUUCCAGGUAAAUCCGGUUCACUUUAACACUGAGGCGUGAUGACGAGGCACUACGGUGCUGAAGCAACAAAUGCCCUGCUUCCAGGAAAAGCCUCUAAGCAUCAGGUAACAUCAAAUCGUACCCCAAACCGACACAGGUGGUCAGGUAGAGAAUACCAAGGCGCUUGAGAGAACUCGGGUGAAGGAACUAGGCAAAAUGGUGCCGUAACUUCGGGAGAAGGCACGCUGAUAUGUAGGUGAAGCGGUUUACCCGUGGAGCUGAAAUCAGUCGAAGAUACCAGCUGGCUGCAACUGUUUAUUAAAAACACAGCACUGUGCAAACACGAAAGUGGACGUAUACGGUGUGACGCCUGCCCGGUGCCGGNUGGAGCUGAAGUCAGUCGAAGAUACCAGCUGGCUGCAACUGUUUAUUAAAAACACAGCACUGUGCAAACACGAAAGUGGACGUAUACGGUGUGACGCCUGCCCGGUGCCGGAAGGUUAAUUGAUGGGGUCAGCGCAAGCGAAGCUCCUGAUCGAAGCCCCGGUAAACGGCGGCCGUAACUAUAACGGUCCUAAGGUAGCGAAAUUCCUUGUCGGGUAAGUUCCGACCUGCACGAAUGGCGUAAUGAUGGCCAGGCUGUCUCCACCCGAGACUCAGUGAAAUUGAACUCGCUGUGAAGAUGCAGUGUACCCGCGGCAAGACGGAAAGACCCCGUGAACCUUUACUAUAGCUUGACACUGAACAUUGAGCCUUGAUGUGUAGGAUAGGUGGGAGGCUUUGAAG